rnacentral:rRNA from 1 species
AUGCCAAAAAUUGGCUGCAAACCAAUCAGCCUCCAUGUCCUGAAAAAGACGUCUUCUUAUUGGUUGUUGGCUGAAUCAGGCGAAUUAAGAAAACAUGGUCAAGUGAACACCAGAACCAUGUCAGCAAAGAGUAUGACAAUGGCCAUCCAUUCUUUAGGAAAAAAAAGAAGGAUAUUUACUACCAGUUGUUGUUGGUCUCUAUUACUUGCACAAUGUUGGAUUUCUGCGCUAUAUCAAAAUCUAGUCAUCUCCAGUGCAUCCUUGAGUGCAUCCUUGAGUCGUGAGGAUGAUGACUUCUUGUCUUUGCAAAUUUAG